AUUGAACGCUGGCGGCAUGCCUUACACAUGCAAGUCGAACGGCAGCACGGGAGCAAUCCUGGUGGCGAGUGGCGAACGGGUGAGUAAUAUAUCGGAACGUGCCCAGUCGUGGGGGAUAACGCAGCGAAAGCUGUGCUAAUACCGCAUACGAUCUAAGGAUGAAAGCGGGGGAUCGCAAGACCUCGCGCGAUUGGAGCGGACGAUAUCAGAUUAGCUAGUUGGUGGGGUAAAGGCCCACCAAGGCGACGAUCUGUAGCUGGUCUGAGAGGACGACCAGCCACACUGGAACUGAGACACGGUCCAGACUCCUACGGGAGGCAGCAGUGGGGAAUUUUGGACAAUGGGCGCAAGCCUGAUCCAGCAAUGCCGCGUGCAGGAUGAAGGCCUUCGGGUUGUAAACUGCUUUUGUACGGAACGAAACGGCCCUUUCUAAUACAGGGGGCUAAUGACGGUACCGUAAGAAUAAGCACCGGCUAACUACAUGCCAGCAGCCGCCGUAA
rnacentral:rRNA from 1 species